CUCGAUCUCAAUAGAGAUCUUCGAACCAAAUUUGAUACCUAAUCGAACAAACUUGAGGUCUUGAUCGUCUCUGAAAAAGACUGGACAAGCUGCAGAUUCUAUUAUUCUCUUCUGAAAUUGUGGAUCUUCAUUCAAAUUCAGGGAAAAUGAAGACAAUUUUUCUGAUUUCACAGGAAAAGAACUUUUCUCAUCUGCAUUAUCGCCAAGCAAAUUGAGGUCAAAGUUAAACAUCUUUUCUGCUUGUUUUGAACUUUGAUUUGAAGAAUAACUUCUAAAAGUUGAUGUAAUCCUAUUUUCACUUGGCAAUUCGUCUUCUGAAGCAGCAGCAACAUUAAGGUCAAACUCCAUAAUUCUUUUCGUGUCCCAAUCUGAACUCUUGGAUAAAGAAGCAGCAGGGCAAAAAGCACCGGUCGCAGCAGUACCCCUCCAGCCUAGCCUGCCUUCAAAUUUCAAUGAACUCACAGUCGUAGACAAAGGAGGUAAAGGAACUCCAUAUUUAGCUACUAUUCGUAUCACUAUAUUUUGACCAUUUGAUUGCUUCGCAUCAUCAUCCAAAUCAUUUUGGUUGACGUCCUCAUUCAAAUCAAGCAUAUUGACUACUGGAGUCUGUCGCUAAUCUAUUUCAAACUUUGUGAGUGGACAAGCAGGUGAUUUCAGGCCACCAUUAAACUCG
rnacentral:lncRNA from 1 species